AGCGGCAAAAGCUCAAAUUUGAAAUCUGGCACCUUCGGUGUCCGAGUUGUAAUUUGAAGAUUGUAACCUUGGGGUUGGCUCUUGUCUAUGUUUCUUGGAACAGGACGUCACAGAGGGUGAGAAUCCCGUGCGAUGAGAUGCCCAAUCCUAUGUAAGGUGCUUUCGAAGAGUCGAGUUGUUUGGGAAUGCAGCUCUAAGUGGGUGGUAAAUUCCAUCUAAAGCUAAAUAUUGGCGAGAGACCGAUAGCGAACAAGUACAGUGAUGGAAAGAUGAAAAGAACUUUGAAAAGAGAGUGAAAAAGUACGUGAAAUUGUUGAAAGGGAAGGGUUUGAGAUCAGACUCGAUAUUUUGUGAGCCUUGCCUUCGUGGCGGGGUGACCCGCAGCUUAUCGGGCCAGCAUCGGUUUGGGCGGUAGGAUAAUGGCGUAGGAAUGUGACUUUGCUUCGGUGAAGUGUUAUAGCCUGCGUUGAUGCUGCCUGCCUAGACCGAGGACUGCGAUUUUAUCAAGGAUGCUGGCAUAAUGAUCCCAAACCGCCCGUCUUGAACCACGGACCA
rnacentral:rRNA from 1 species